CAGAGGUCCCGAGCGUUGUUCGGAUUCACUGGGCGUAAAGGGUGCGUAGGUGGCCGUGCAAGUUUGAUGUGAAAUCUCCGGGCUCAACCCGGAAAAGGCAUUGAAUACUGCGCGGCUGGAGGUUUGAGGGGGGACUGGAAUUCUCGGUGUAGCAGUGAAAUGCGUAGAUAUCGAGAGGAACACCAGUGGCGAAGGCGAGUCCCUGGACAACACCUGACACUGAGGCACGAAAGCCGGGGGGAACAAACAGGAUUAGAUACCCUGGUAGUCCCGGCCUUAAACGGUGCACGUUUGCUGUAAGAGGAAUCGACCCCUUUUGUGGCGAAGCUAACGCGCUAAACGUGCCGCCUGGGGAGUACGGUCGCAAGAUUA
rnacentral:rRNA from 1 species